CAGAAAAGAAAGGCAAAGAUAAAAUGAUUUUGUCAGGUUCAAGUUGUACAAGUUGCAUCUUUUGUACGUUCGAUAUACGCGCGUUAAUGACAUAGUAGAAGCAGUGUUCCAUUUAACGUAACAUCGACGGUGUACUUGUACGAACGAUAUAUGCGGUGAACUGUUAUUUCCAAUUAAUCGAUGGUGCGUGCGUACUUAUUAUACAGCGUUGGGAUCUCUUACACGAAAUAACUAAUGCAACGUAACUCACUCACUCUCUCUCUCUCUCUCUCUCUCUCUCUGUCUGUCUUCUUUUCUCUUUAUCCGUGUAUCGACCGCGUCGCACCACCGUGCAAAUAUUAUGAUUCGUGGCGCAGAUGGCCCAUUGGGGAGGAAGCGAAAUCUCCUCGACGCUCGGCGCACUCGACGCGAGAUUGAAACGUAUAGUCUUGGCUCGUUAUAUUAUAUCACGUUUUAUCCAAGGAUUCACGUUUCUACAGACGAUACAAGCCCUUUAGAAAGCGUCCGAUCCACAUGAAAUUUAACGGCUAUCGUGGAAGGAAAUCGGUAAUUUGCGUUCGAACGACGCGGUUGUUGUUAGUUAGAAAAAUUCUGCUGUAUCCUAUUUCGUUUAUCGCAGGUAGCACAGUGACAUUGUUGGUUUGAUCUGCCUAAUCUAAUCUGAUAUAGCAGUCAUUGGUCGUUCAUCGACCGUUUCGCUCUUCAAGCUCAACACACGCCCACCUCGCGGCUAAAUACGUUGAUCGAAAAUUUACGAUCUUUCUAUAUAUAGCGAGAAAUUCGAAUCGCUCGCAACGUGAUUCGAAGCUACAAAAUCGAGCAGCUUAGAUACGUUUCGAUAAGUCCGAUCGAUAUGUCACAGGCAUUUUGAUCAGCAGUAGCGGUAUCGUUGAUUGGAGAAAUGGAAGAAAGUCUGGAAUAUUCGAAUGACGAUAAACGACGAGACUCGAGACUCGUCGAGUGUCUGCAUAGUUUCAGAUCAAAGAGAUCGCGUUCUGUCGCGACGUAUGCGACACGAAGUGUCUUAGAUCGCGACGCUAGAAAGGAGCGAAAGUGUAAGAAGUUCGUGGACGAAGGGUUAAAGAUGGGAAGAGAAUCGGCGCGUGUCCUUUCGUGGAAGUGUCAGGCCACGAUAAACGAACUCCGGGGCACCGGAUACGCGUGACGCUGCACGCACGACGAGCCAGCUUCCGGUCCUCCGGCGGAGAAACGCACGCGAGACGCAUCUGAAUGAGCGCGUCUCUAGCCUCCGCCUCGUGUGUACACGCGUACGUUUCACCGACGACCGGCCACGGAAUGUGUGUUACGCGUUUGCUCGCCUACCACCGCUACACCGGAACAAUAAGCGUGGAUACUGCGACCAGACUUUCGUCCAUUUCGAAACGGCCUGGCUUUUUCUCGCCUUCUCUAAUGACUUUAAGGUUGUCGUUUCGAAAUUCUCAACGUAUCAGCGUCGGAAGGAAUAUAACGUAGUCGUAAAUGAUAAUAAACAGUGAAUGUUUAUGCUAAUUUAGACUUUUAUAUUAUAAUAUGGACAAGUAUAUGGUAUUUAAAUACAGAUUUAAUCGCCUAUCAAAUAUUCUAACGAAAACUGGAUACAUUAUAUGUACUUUUAUGUACAAAUAAUAAUCUGCGAACAUUUGUGAAAAUUCAUAUUUUUACGAAUGUCAGUGGGAAAAUGGUAGAUAGAGAUUUAUUUUUUAUUUAUGAAAUAUUCUGAUCAAAAUUUGAUAUAUUAUAUGGUGUUAUAUGUACAUCAGGUGGAAAGAAUAUAACGGAUCACAAAUAAUAAUCUGCAAAUUCAUAUUUUUAUGACUGUCACUGGGAAAAUGGUAUUUAGAUACAGAUUUAUUUCAUUUAUGAAAUAUUCUGAAAAUUGGAUAUAUUGUAUGUUGUUACAUGUAUAUCAGGUGGAAAGAAUAUAACGGGUCACAAAUAAUAAUCUACAAAUAUUUGUGCAUUUUUAUGACCUCAACUGAGUAAAGGGUAUUUAAAUAGAGGUCUGUUUCAUCUAUUAAAUAUUCUGAUGAAAAUUGGAUACAUUAUAUGUAUUUACAGAAAGAAUGUAUUUAAAAGAAGAAUAUAGCCGAGUCAGAAUAUUUGUGAAAGUUCAUAUUUUUACAAACGCAGUUAAGAAAAUAGUAUCCAAAUGUCUAUGAAAUUCGCUUAUUAAAUAUUACCAUGAAUAUACAGGGUAGUUGGUAAUUGGUGGUACAAGCGGAAAGGGGGUGAUUCUACGCGAAAAAAUAAGUCGAAAAUAUGGAAUAAAAAUUUUUCGGUUGAGGCUUUGUUUUCGAGAAAAUCGACUUUGAAUUUUCGCUCGGUACGCGUGCACUUUAUCGCGUCUCGUUAUAACGGAUCUCACUGUAGAUCGUUGUCUCGAUUGACGUUAUUUUUUUAAUUUUUAAAAUUUUUAAAUUUUCAAAUUUUAAAUUUUUAAAUUUUUAAAUUUUCAAAUUUUAAAUUUUUAAAUUUUUAAAUUUUCAAAUUUUAAAUUUUUAAAUUUUUAAAUUUUAAAUUUUUAAAUUUUCAAAUUUUAAAUUUUUAAAUUUUUAAAUUUUCAAAUUUUAAAUUUUUAAAUUUUUAAAUUUUAAAUUUUUAAAUUUUCAAAUUUUAAAUUUUCAAAUUUUCAAAUUUUUCUUCUAUAUUUUCGACUUCUUUUUUCGCGUAGAAUCACCCCCUUUCCGCUUGUACCACCAGUUACCAACCACCCUGUAUAUCGCACAUCUUCAAUUUCCAUUUACAAACGUCAUUCACAAAUUGAUUUUUAAAUCUUUUACUCAUAAAUCAUUCGAUCUUCCAAUUAAAAUUUCGUUAUAUUCCAUCCUAUGAAAGCUUCCAUUUAAAAUGAACUCUCUCUCUCUCUUCCACUCUCUAUUUCUAAUUACAGUAUCUGUAAAAAUGAACUUGUGCAACUGCAAAUGGAAAGAACUGAUUUCGAUAACGAAUUGAAAUCUAACGUUUCCGAUAAGACUCGAGCGUUUUAUCUUCACUCAAAUCUUGUCUCUGUUUCAACGACCAAAACUCGCGCACUCUCAAGUCCGAUUAAUUUUAUGACCAUUUAUUAUCUCCUCCAUCAAGAAGUACGUAAGACAUUAUGACGACUACACGACUCUGAUAAAACGUUUCUCUAGUCUAGUCUAGUCGUUCACACGAAUCGAAAUAAGACCAUUACAUUCUCACGAGCCGUAAGAUUCGAUAGUUUCCCCUGUUAUAAUAGACAUCGAAUCGAAAUGAUUAAACCCACAGGAAGAUACCCACCACUCACGUACAAUAUAUCACGAACGUACGCUGUUCGAAACGAUUGGUCGAUUCAAUUAAUUUACCGCAUCAAACGAUCGUUCGGCUCAAUUAAUUUAUUGGAAGAAUCAAGUAAACCGGAGCAAAAGACAUUUACAAAUACACCAGUUGCAGAUACAUUCGGUAUUCUCUUUGAGCCCUAAUAAAGGACUAUUCUCCCUGGACUUGGUGUUUCCCACGAUGGAAACGUGUCGAAGACAACGCGCGUCAUAUAUGUAUAUACGUACGAUAUAUACAUAACCGUUCAUAGCACAUACGCGCAUGUUAGUGAGGAGAUGGGAAAAACGGGAAUUUUUUGUCGAAGCUUCUCGAGGGGCUGACAGACGCGAACAAAGGGAGACGUCGAAACCUUCGCAUCGAAAGUCCCUUUCCCAAACCGUUCUCCCCAUGAGUUUUCCCGGGAAAUUAAAUCGAUAACUCCCGUUCUACCGUGUAAAACGGCCACGACGGAGGGAGCCGUGCUUUCGCUCUAUCCUUCGUGCGCUAGUACGUACGUACGAGGUGACCGGUAAUUCUAGAACACCCUCUAUCGAAAAUCGAAUGUUCCAACUUUUCCACGAUCAAUGCGGAGAGUCGUAUAUAGUAAACUAGGCACGUGCGACUUUAUUUCAAAUACGCCAUGGGCCGCGAUUUAUGGUAGUCGGACAGAUUUCGAUGGCACGAAACGCGAGGAUGGAAAACCGCGAACGACUAAAUUGUGGCGCUUUCGCUUUCGAAAAUAUCGAGCCUCGUAAUUGUUGUAAUCGAGUUCGAUGGUACUGCGUGCGAUCGUCGAAUUUCUAUCUUCUCGGUAUAUCGCCUCUCGUUGAUAGAAUAUCGCAAGAAGAAGUCACGCCGAACGAGAAUUUGUUCGCAGGUUGUUGAAACUUGGCAGAUUUCUUGGCGUAAGAAAAAUACGAACCGGUGGGAAAUGAGACAAAAAGGCAGCAGAGUUAGGAAAGGGAGCGCUGGAAAAAUAUUUGUCGAGUGUACGAUAACGAAAGAACGUGCCGGCAAUUCUUAUUUUAUUCUUUCGUAUUCUGGCCAUACUUUGCUACACGACCAAUCACGAUCGAAUGGCUCAACAUUUACAAGCGAAUCGAACAAUCCAUCGACGAUUUCGUGGUCUCGAGGAGCCAACGUUUUUCUUCGAAGAGAGGAAUUAAACAGCCGAGAAAGAAACACGAAACGAUCGUAGACCUAAAUGGCCGAUAUACGGACGCAUAGAGAAGGAAAAUGUUAGGAACGUUCGUUACAUUUGUACCGCGUAACCGAAACACAACUUUCGAAUCUCAUAAUCGAUCUCAUAAUGUCUGGAAUAGGAAAUCGAACGAUCGGUUCUUUGUCACAGCGAUUGAAGCCAACAGGGUGUGUCUGGCGGAAUAUUUGCUGCACGUUGAAAACAGCGAACAGAAGUUCGACGGAAUCUGUGUGUAGCGAACCGAUAACUCGUUAGCCUGGAAAAUUUGAUUAGCAAAGUGGAGUUUGUUGCCAAACUGUGGACGAAUCGUAGCGUAGUUUCCGAGGGCAGAGAGGAACAAAUUGCUACAACUUGAAGAAGAAUGGUAAAUAUAUAAAGAAGGAUGGAAAGAGGGAGAAAAAGGUUGGAAGACGGCAGGAAAGGUUCAGGGACCAAGGUUAAGAAGACAGGAAGAGGAAUGAGAAGCAAGGGAAGACGAAAGAAGGGCAAAAUGGUCGCAUUGCGGUAGGUGAACACGUGCGUGCGUGCAUAAAUGAAUAAGUAAACGAGAUCAAAGACUGAUACCUGCUAAAUGACAGUACUUUAUCGGUUUUUAUUCGCUUGCAACGUUACGCGAUCGCGAUAUCAAGGUGCCAAUGCGUUGCUUGUUUUUCCAUGGAAAAAGAAAAUUACACGAUGACUUUUACGCGAACAAUUACGUAACACGCGACCAAGUAAAAUUCUUGUCGCCUAACCGUUUCUCCGAAUCAGAUUUGUUCGAGUUAAUUGUCGCGUAAUGGGACACCAGCGUUCAAAAGUACGUUGGGUGUUGCGAUAUGAAAAAUUAAGCAAAUCUGCGUAAUCGUUAGGAAACUUCAUUUGGAAAAUGAAAAAUGAGAAAACGUUGUAAAAAGCUGGUAAUAUUCGACGUUACGAUGAAAUCGUCAACCACGUAUGCGAUGUAUAAUUAAAUUGUGUUUCCACAAAUUUCUGUACUUGUGUUAGGUCCUUUCGUUUCAUAAGGAAAUAAUAGACGCACGAUGUGUUUUAUUUUAUAUUAGCUUAUCGAAUGAUGCACGAACGUAAUAAUAGAAAUAUAACGAAAUGGAUCAUAGCUAAUUCAGUGAAAUAAUAUAAAAUAGAAAUUCUUCGUUAUUAUGAAAUGAAAGAAACUUUUUGAACAACCUAAUAUUUAUCGUUAGAGUAAAUCAUUUUUAGCGGCAUAUGAGUUAGAGGACAAUUCAAAUCAUGUUGUUGUUCUGCCUCGGGGUAUCAAGAUCGUUAGGAUACGCGUAAUGUAAGAGUAAAUAAACUCCGAGCAAAAUAAUGUCGUCGCUACGUACAACCGACGAAAACAAAUUUAAAUUUUCCGACUCUCCCCGACCGGUAUAAAUAAGCGGACGCGAUCGCAAGGAAAAGUGUUACAGUCAGGUGUCGAUCGGUUAUCAACGAAUUAAAAUUUAGCGAUCCAAUUAACGAGUCAUUAGUUAUCCUAUUUUACGACUUAUAUAUUGCACGAGCGUCUCAGCGAAUAUAGCCUGUACGCUAAUUUAUUAUUUUAAAUACAGGAUGGUUGGUAACUGAUGGUACAAGCGGAAAGGAGGUGAUUCUACGCGAAAAAAGAAGUCGAAAAUAUAGAAUAAAAAUUUUUCGUUCGAGGCUUUGUUUUCGAGAAAAUCGACUUUGAAUUUUCGCUCGGUACGCGUGCACUUUAUCGCGUCUCGUUAUAACGGGUCUCACUGUAGAUCGUUGUCUCGAUUGACGUUAUUUUUCUAAUUUUUAAAAUUUUUAAAUUUUUAAAUUUUCAAAUUUUAAAAUUUUUUAAUUUUUAUUCUAUACUUUCGACUUCUUUUUUCGCGUAGAAUCACCCCCUUUCCGCUUGUACCACCAAUUACCAACCACCCUGUAUAU